rnacentral:tRNA from 1 species
ACUUUUAAUGGAACAAAGCGGUCCAAUGGCCUUAAGAACCACAACUCUUGGUGCAAAUCCAAGUAAAAGUAAUG